rnacentral:sRNA from 1 species
GUCGCGCCCUCCUGCUGCUUUCUUCCGGCCGAGGCCCCCCGGAGAGUCACUGCUGAGUCUGAGCCGGGGUCUGUGGCUGUCGCAGCCUCCCGGGGACACCCCAAAGCGCCACCAGUGUCCCCCUGGCGCGGCGGCUGCGAAGGGCGGGUCCGGUGACCCCGCGUGCAGCGGGAGAAGCAGGCGCCGCAGUCCUGGAAGAUGAGCAGCCCCACCACGUUGACUGCCAGCCCCAGGGCGCCCACGAUGAGUACCAGCUCCGGGUCGUCGAUGCGCUCGGGCCGCGCGAGCCGCAACACGGCCUCCACGAAGAUGGUAAAGCAGAGCGCGGUGAGGAAGACUGCGUUGCUGAGCGCGCCCACCACCUCCGCCCGCACAUAGCCGUAGGUGGCGCUGGAGCCGCGGGGACCGCGUCGCGCGAUGUAGCCGGAGCCCAGGCCCACGCACAGCGAGAUCAGAUCAGACAGCAUGUUGAACGAGUCCGAGAGCAGCGCGAUGGAGUUGCCCAGGUAACCCGACACCAGUUCGGCCACGAAGAAGGCCGCGGCCUGUGAGAUGUGAACAACAGCAUGAAGCCAGCCAGCAGUCAACAUCACUUUGAACAGGUCGUUGAUAAAGCUGAAUGGGUCCUUUGGCCUGUCCCUGGAGAGCAGAGGACAUCCGGAAUUCACCCGUGGUUAUGAACACUGUGACUUUCGACUGCCAGUUCUCAUCCCUUCUCCAGGUUACAAGGGCAGCCCAGAAAGCCAUUACGAUGGUGACUGUUGUAGCUUGUUAGUUCAGAAGGAUCUAGAAUCACUUAGGAAAUACUUUAUGUGAGAAAGGAUCUGAUGGAGCUGACUGCAGUGGGAAGUUAGGCAGCGCCGUCCUACGAUCUGGGGUCCUGGGCUGCUUGAAAAGGAGACAGGGUUGAGUAGGGUGUGAAAAUCUCAGUGAUUCCUGGCUGAGGGCUCAGAGACCUUGCCUCCUGCUACAUGACUUCUUCACUGGGAUGCUGAUUCUCAACGUCUCAGCCCCUUCCUUCCCAAAAUGGCAUUUAUCGGGGGUUCCUCACAGCAAUAAGAAUAACCAACAGGGGAACUCUUGUGCUCAAGGCCUGCGGAGGUGUGGGCAUGAUUUGUGACUGGAGGAAGAAGAGGAGAGCAUUAGAGGCCAAACCAGGAAGUUAGGGAACGCCUCCCAUUCAGACUUCAGCACUACAUACUAAGUGUGAAGUCUGAUGGGUGCGGGGGAAGUAGUCAGCUGUGAGACUUCUAAUUCAGAUAAAGGAGAAAGAAUCCACAAAGCUUAAAAGAAAAACAACAGAAAAUUCUGCCUUGUGUUUAUUCUAAACCAUAGUCUUGAUGGCAAGUAAAAUUCUGUACCAUUUCAUAAUUUACAGAAAGAUUGUAUGUGCUAUGUGAAGCCAUCAGAAAUAACUCACACGAGCAGCUUUUUCCACUGCUAGGCUUUCCUCAAACCUUAGACUACGUGAAAGUGAAAAUGUCCAUUGCCUGAGAAAUUAUGACAUACAGCUGUUCCAAUCAUCCCUGGUGGCUGAGUGUGGCAGUGAAUGCUUUUACACCCCAGCACUUGGGAUGCAAAGAUAGAAACGUCACAAGCUCCAGGUCAGCCUAUGCUACAGAGCGAGGCUCACGCCAUCCUAGGCAACAUAGGGAAACACUACCUCAAGAACUUUAGCUAAAGCCUCCCAGCAGAUGCCUCUACGUACCCAAGGCACUGGUUACGUAUCCGUGAUGCAUCACAAGGACACAGGAGUGAAGAUCUCAGAUCCAGUCCCAGCUCUGUCAGAGUGAACCUGCCUGUCACUUGUGUUCCCGUUUAUGAUCUAUUCACUCUCUUCCACAGGAAUCAAAUAAAACAGCAUGUGUGCUCAGCUGACAGGCCACCCGCUGACAAGCCUCCAGCAGCCCCUCACCAUUGGUGUCUCACCACCAACCUCCCCAGAACUGGACUUCCACCGACUACAUAGCAUGGUAGAGUGUCUUGAGAAGUAUUUAGAACGUUAUGUUUUUCAUAAAAUCGUCUACUUCCCCUUUGCCCAAUUAGUCUAAUUAGUUUAAUUGGCUUAGAACUCAAUGGCUACUGGUUAGCACAGUAUUUUGAAAACAAUAUGUAAAGGGGUAAGGAAUGUAGCUCGGUGGCAUAGGGCUUGCCUGGCACAUGUAAGACCCUGUGUUCAAUUCCUGCACCACCACCGCAAACACUAACAACAAUAGAAACAUCAAAGGCGUAAGGUUGACUGGGCGUUGGAAAGAUGGCUUAGUGAAGACCAUGUACUGCUCUUGAAGACUUAAGUACCCAUGUGAGGUAGUUCGUGACUUGAUUAUGAGUCCCCACAUGGGUAGCUCCAGGUGAUGGGGUGCUGUCUCCUGUGCUCUGAAGGCAUCAGUGCUCAAAGGGGAACCCAGAUACUCAUAGUUUAUUUUCUAAAACACGUAUUUCAAUAAACGUAUUACAGAUCUUCA